UUAAUAUAAAGUGGCAAACGGGUGAGUAAUAUAUCAGAACAUGCCUUUAAGUGGGGGAUAACUAAUUGAAAAAUUAGAUAAUACCGCAUAUUAAAUCUUAGGAUGAAAAUAGGAAUUUUCUUAUGCUUUUAGAUUGGCUGAUAUCUGAUUAGCUAGUUGGUAAGGUAAAAGCUUACCAAGGCUAUGAUCAGUAGCUGGUUUUAGAGAAUGAUCAGCCACACUGGAACUGAGACACGGUCCAG
rnacentral:rRNA from 1 species